AACGAACGCUGGCGGCAUGCCUAACACAUGCCAGUCGAACGAGACCUUCGGGUCUAGUGGCGCACGGGUGCGUAACGCGUGGGAACCUGCCCUUAGGUUCGGAAUAACUCCCCGGAAGGGGUGCUAAUACCGGAUCAUGUCUUCGGACCAAAGAUUUAUCGCCUUUGGAUGGGCCCGCGUUGGAUUAGCUAGUUGGUAGGGUAAAAGCCUACCAAGGCGACGAUCCAUAGCUGGUCUGAGAGGAUGAUCAGCCACACUGGGACUGAGACACGGCCCAGACUCCUACGGGAGGCAGCAGUGGGGAAUAUUGGACAAUGGGCGAAAGCCUGAUGCAGCAAUGCCGCGUGAGUGAUGAAGGCCUUAGGGUUGUAAAGCUCUUUUACCCGGGAUGAUAAUGACAGUACCGGGAGAAUAAGCUCCGGCUAACUCCGUG
rnacentral:rRNA from 1 species